rnacentral:rRNA from 1 species
GACGUAGGAGGCGAGCGUUGUCCGGAUUCAUUGGGCGUAAAGAGCACGCAGGCGGUUUGGCAAGUCGGAUGUGAAAACCCGGAGCUCAACUCCGGGCGUGCAUCCGAUACUGCCCGACUAGAGGUAGGUAGGGGAGAUCGGAAUUCCUGGUGUAGCGGUGAAAUGCGCAGAUAUCAGGAGGAACACCGGUGGCGAAGGCGGAUCUCUGGGCCUUGCCUGACGCUGAGGCGCGAAAGCUAGGGGAGCGAACAGG